AUACGGAGGGUGCAAGCGUUAAUCGGAAUUACUGGGCGUAAAGCGUACGUAGGCGGUUAUUUAAGUCAGAUGUGAAAGCCCCGGGCUUAACUUGGGAACUGCAUUUGAAACUGGGUAACUAGAGUUUAGUAGAGGGGAGUGGAAUUUCAAGUGUAGCGGUGAAAUGCGUAGAGAUCUGAAGGAACACCAGUGGCGAAGGCGACUCCCUGGACUAAAACUGACGCUGAGGUACGAAAGCGUGGGUAGCAAACAGGAUUAGAAACCCUAGUAGUCC
rnacentral:rRNA from 1 species